GACGAACGCUGGCGGCGUGCUUAACACAUGCAAGUCGAACGGAAAGGCCCUGCUUGCAGGGUACUCGAGUGGCGAACGGGUGAGUAACACGUGGGUGAUCUGCCCUGCACUUCGGGAUAAGCCUGGGAAACUGGGUCUAAUACCGGAUAGGAGCCAUUUUUAGUGUGAUGGUUGGAAAGUUUUUUCGGUGUAGGCUGAGCUCGCGGCCUAUCAGCUUGUUGGUGGGGUAAUGGCCUACCAAGGCGGCGACGGGUAGCCGGCCUGAGAGGGUGGACGGCCACAUUGGGACUGAGAUACGGCCCAGACUCCUACGGGAGGCAGCAGUGGGGAAUAUUGAACAAUGGGCGCAAGCCUGAUGCAGCGACGCCGCGUGGGGGAUGACGGUCUUCGGGUUGUAAACUACUUUCGCUAGGGACGAAGCUUUUUGUGACGGUACCUAGAUAAGAAGCACCGGCUAACUACGUG
rnacentral:rRNA from 1 species